GAGUGGCUGCAGCUGGAGUGAGCGAGCGCGACGAGCCACCGGAAACGGAGCUGCAGCCGCGCCCCGCCCCCAGCUCCCCGCACGCUGCCCCUCCCGCUCGUAUGUCCCGCGGGCGGCCCCGCUCGCUGGCUGCACGCGUCACUUCCGGCUGUGUUGGGGCGCGAAAAAAGUUCUUGGGUUGGAACGUUGGUACUGGUCUGUGGCGGUGUUUGUCGACUGUCCUCUGCUAGGAAAUCUCGGCACUGACUGUCCCACUGCUGAUGCUAUAAAAGAGGUCCUUCUGCUAUGAUGCAACUGUGGUUGCUCUGCUUCUGGGGACUUAUGCUCCGCGUGCGGAUUUUCAUAGUUCCAUGUGGCUCCGAGCCGAGGGAGCCGCGGCGUGGAAAGGAGGGAACCGGUGAUCUCAGUGCUGAAGAAAACAGGGAGUGUGUGUCUUCAUGCUUGAUUUCCCUUGCCGCAGGGGCUUAAAAUGAGAUGUCUGGGCGUGAGAAGUCGUUCUUGAUGAAAUGUGGCCUCUGUGAGUGUGGUCUCGCUGUUAGACUAGGAAGAUGCUAUUUUGCUGUGCCCAGUUCCUCUUAAAAGUACAGAUGCUCCUUGGGUUGCGAUUUCGUUUUAAUACCCUUAUAAACGAAAAGGAUAAGCCUUUGGGUUCUGUAAUGUGAGCCAGCAUUCUUUGAGUACUUAAGUGUCAGGAACCAAAGAGAAGUGAAGGAAUGUGUCCAAGGGCUCCCAAGUUGGCGGUGGAAUUAGAAUUGAAGCCUCAGCUCCAGAGCCUGUGUUCUCAACGACCUGGUUGCAGCUCACAAAAUACACUUUGGCAGUACUUUCAUAACGAAAACAAAUGAUUACAUCUAGUUUACAAAUGCUUUACUUUACUGGAGGAUCGACAUGUUUGACUAAUUUUUAAAAAUAAAUGUCGGAAACAGCA